UCUGCAGCACAUGCCGAAAGCUCAUGAGAGACUGAAAUGUGACAUUUUUCUUGGAAUUUAUAUAAAGUGGGAAACUGUUACGAAACUCUUGCAGCAGGGAGCGGCGAUAAAUCAGUGAACAUGGAAGAGCUCUUCUUCCAUCAGGUCUUCAUCUCAGAGGAAUCCAGAGAAAUGUCAGACUCAGACUGGUCCCUGUCACUCACAACACAUCUCACGUGCAGUGUGUGCCCAGCGAUUAUAACAAGGCACUGAGCUGGCUCCAGAUCAAGAGAGAGACAGCCUUGCUUCGGUGGGCAGCACUGGAGCCCUGGGCAAACAGAAUGACUGCAGUGGCUCCUGAAGCUCACCUCCUGUCCUCAUUGAAGGGCUUUGAAAUAGAGAAAUUACACCAAGUUGCAGUCUCAGGCCUGGUGAGUGACGAGUACCAUAACCUCAACCCAAGGACCAGCACACUCACCGUGUCAAAGAAGGCACUCAAAAUACCUGAGAAAUAAAUUACAAUUACUAUCCUGUUUAACAAAGAUAUUUUUUCACUUCCCAAGUUGCUCUACCUUUUGUGGUUAUAACAGCAGAGCAAAGGUAAAACUUUGCAGGGUCUUCAUACUGAUGAAUCUACUUGCCAAGAUGCAGACUGACUGGAAAAGCUGCAAAAACUAGUUUUUUCCUUCUUUUUUUUCAGUGUCUUUUAUAAGUUUUCAUUUUUAUGGUUGAAGAAAAAAUAGUUUCAUGCCUCGUUAUCUCUCCCAUCUUCCUCUUAUUCAAACUUAUGAAACAUCCUCUCAAGCAAUCCCAGAAUUCAGUAGUGAUUUGAAAUCUUAUGAUAGCCACAAAUAAUUAAAAAUAUCCAUUCUGCCACUAUUCAGGAAUUUCAUCUAUUUUUUUUCCAAUAAGGACCGUGUAGGCAGAAACUGAAUAAUACAUAAAGUAAACAAAAGAGUCAAGGCUGAUUAGGGAAGCAGGCAUCAAGUUUCAUUUCCCAAGGACAUUACAUCUGUAAAAUUAGUAUCUCACAAAUAUUUUGAAAUGUCUUCAAACUGAGAAACUAAUAAAAUAAAUUGUCUUUUUUUCAUAUUUUUUUUCUUUUUUUGUAG
ensembl:lncRNA